AGUGAACGCUGGCGGUAGGCCCAACACAUGCAAGUCGAACGGCAGCACAGUAAGAGCUUGCUCUUACGGGUGGCGAGUGGCGGACCGGUGAGGAAUACAUCGGAAUCUACUUUUUCGUGGGGGAUAACGUAGGGAAACUUACGCUAAUACCGCAUACGACCUACGGGUGAAAGCAGGGGAUCUUCGGACCUUGCGCGAUUGAAUGAGCCGAUGUCGGAUUAGCUAGUUGGCGGGGUAAAGGCCCACCAAGGCGACGAUCCGUAGCUGGUCUGAGAGGAAGAUCAGCCACACUGGAACUGAGACACGGUCCAGACUCCGACGGGGGGACGCAGUGGGGAAUAUUGGACAAUGGGCGAAAGCCUGAUCCAGCAAUACCGCGUGGGUGAAGAAGGACUUCGGGUUGUAAAGCCCUUUUGUUGGGAAAGAAAAGCAGCAGGUUAAUACCCCGCUGUUAUGACGGUACCCAAAGAAUAAGCACCGGCUAACUUCGUG
rnacentral:rRNA from 1 species